rnacentral:rRNA from 1 species
AGAACGAAUGCUGGCGGCAUGCCUAACACAUGCAAGUCGAACGAGACCUUCGGGUCUAGUGGCGCACGGGUGCGUAACGCGUGGGAAUCUGCCCCUCGGUUCGGAAUAACAGUUAGAAAUGACUGCUAAUACCGGAUGAUGACGAAAGUCCAAAGAUUUAUCGCCGAGGGAUGAGCCCGCGUAGGAUUAGCUUGUUGGUGGGGUAAUGGCCCACCAAGGCGACGAUCCUUAGCUGGUCUGAGAGGAUGAUCAGCCACACUGGGACUGAGACACGGCCCAGACUCCUACGGGAGGCAGCAGUGGGGAAUAUUGGACAAUGGGCGAAAGCCUGAUCCAGCAAUGCCGCGUGAGUGAUGAAGGCCUUAGGGUUGUAAAGCUCUUUUACCAGGGAUGAUAAUGACAGUACCUGGAGAAUAAGCUCCGGCUAACUCCGUGCCAGCAGCCGC